rnacentral:misc_RNA from 1 species
GAUGAAGAACGUAGCGAAAUGCGAUAAUUAAUGUGAAUUGCAGAAUUCAGUGAAUCAUCGAGUCUUUGAACGCACAUUGCGCCCCCUGGUAUUCCGGGGGGCAUGCCUGUCCGAGCGUCAUUGCUGCCCUCGAGCACGGCUUGUGUGUUGGGCUUCCGUCCCUGGCAACGGGGACGGGCCCAAAAGGCAGUGGCGGCACCAUGUCUGGUCCUCGAGCGUAUGGGGCUUUGUCACCCGCUCCCGUAGGUCCAGCUGGCAGCUAGCCUCGCAACCAAUCUUUUUAACCAGGUUGACCUCGGAUCAGGUAGGGAUACCCGCUGAACUUAAGCAUAUCAAUAAGCGGAGGA